rnacentral:lncRNA from 1 species
UAUCUUGCACUGGUCAAACCGGUCACCAUGCUGAAACAUGGGGCGACUAGCUGGAAUGUUAGUAUCUUCAAAACGAUCUCCCUGCUGAAAAAUAGAACGGUUGCUGGAUACAUUAGUAUCUUCAAAGAUAUUACCCUCCAUCAUUAUCCCUUGGCCAUGAAGGUAAUUGUCAGAUUGACAUUGCAUGCCAGGUUGCUGAACAGAUUGCUCUUUAAUCACAGCGGCAUUCCCAGAAUCUGCAUUCUUGUUGCCUUGGAUAUUAGACUCAUAAAAUGACAUGAGGUCAUUGAU